AAUGUAUCAAGGGGUAUCUCAAAAGCAUCAGGUUUUAAACAAUUGACAGGUAAUCUUAAACAAAAUGGUGGUGUUGAAUGUGGAUAUUGUGUGAUGCGGUACAUGAAAGAGAUAGUCUUAGAUGAAUAUCCAUAAUUGGAGAGAAAGUUUGCAGCAUCAAAAAACAAACAGUAUUACAAUCAAUCUCACUAUGAUGAAGUCAGA